CUCCAGACUCCUACGGGAGGCAGCAGUGGGGAAUAUUGCACAAUGGGGGAAACCCUGAUGCAGCAACGCCGCGUGAGUGAAGAAGUAUUUCGGUAUGUAAAGCUCUAUCAGCAGGGAAGAAGAUGACGGUACCUGAGUAAGAAGCCCCGGCUAACUACGUGCCAGCAGCCGCGGUAAUACGUAGGGGGCAAGCGUUAUCCGGAUUUACUGGGUGUAAAGGGAGCGUAGACGGUGAGACAAGUCUGAAGUGAAAGCCCGGGGCUCAACCCCGGGACUGCUUUGGAAACUGCCUGACUGGAGUGCUGGAGAGGCAAGCGGAAUUCCUAGUGUAGCGGUGAAAUGCGUAGAUAUUAGGAAGAACACCAGUGGCGAAGGCGGCUCUCUGGUCUGCAACUGACGCUGAGGCUCGAAAGCAUGGGUAGCGAACAGGAUUAGAUACCCGCGUA
rnacentral:rRNA from 1 species